rnacentral:rRNA from 1 species
GACGAACGCUGGCGGCGUGCUUAACACAUGCAAGUCGAACGGAAAGGCCCUGCUUUUGUGGGGUGCUCGAGUGGCGAACGGGUGAGUAACACGUGAGUAACCUGCCCUUGACUCUGGGAUAACUUCAGGAAACUGGGGCUAAUACCGGAUAGGAGCUCCUGCUGCAUGGUGGGGGUUGGAAAGUUUCGGCGGUUGGGGAUGGACUCGCGGCUUAUCAGCUUGUUGGUGGGGUAGUGGCUUACCAAGGCUUUGACGGGUAGCCGGCCUGAGAGGGUGACCGGCCACAUUGGGACUGAGAUACGGCCCAGACUCCUACGGGAGGCAGCAGUGGGGAAUAUUGCACAAUGGGCAGAAGCCUGAUGCAGCAACGCCGCGUGCGGGAUGACGGCCUUCGGGUUGUAAACCGCUUUCGCCUGUGACGAAGCGUGAGUGACGGUAAUGGGUAAAGAAGCACCGGCUAACUACGUG